GAUGACCUUACUGGCAUAUGGCACCCUGUCCCAAAGUAGAAAUCAUGAUUCUCCUGUUUGCACUGAAUAAGCUCUAUGGCCCAUCCUCUUUGGAGCUCAGUGCAGUUAAUCUAAUCUACUGAUACUUAAUCCACGACUCUUUAGCUGCCUGUGGCUCUUUACAGGUCUUCAUGAGGCUCUCAGAAAUUGUGCACAUCUGUGUGGCACUCCACUCCUCUAUUUGGAUUUGGCAAAUCAAUUCACCGGUGUUGAAAUAGCUGAGAUUUUCCUCCCUGUAGAUGGGGUGAAAAGGAGCCACUGGGAUUGUCUCCGUAUGUAAGAGUGAAACCACUUCCAAGUCACAGCCAGGAGAGGAGGAGAAAGAGG